AGUGAACGCUGGCGGCAGGCCUAACACAUGCAAGUCGAACGGCAGCACAAGAGUGCUUGCUCUCUGGGUGGCGAGUGGCGGACGGGUGGGGAAUGCAUCGGAAUCUGCCUAGUUGUGGGGGAUAACCACGGGAAACCGGGACUAAUACCGCAUACGACCUACGGGUGAAAGCAGGGGAGCUUCGGACCUUGCGCAGGUGCAUGAGCCGAUGCCGGAUUAGCUAGUUGGAGGGGUAAAGGCCGACCAAGGCGACGAUCCGUAGCUGGUCUGAGAGGAUGAUCAGCCACACUGGAACUGAGACACGGCCCAGACUCCUACGGGAGGCAGCAGUGGGGAAUAUUGGACAAUGGGCGCAAGCCUGAUCCAGCCAUGCCGCGUGUGUGAAGAAGGCCUUCGGGUUGUAAAGCACUUUUGUUGGGAAAGAAAAGCAGUCGGUUAAUACCCGGUUGUCAUGACGGUACCCAAAGAAUAAGCACCGGCUAACUUCGUG
rnacentral:rRNA from 1 species